rnacentral:misc_RNA from 1 species
AGCAGCCGCGGUAAUUCCAGCUCCAAUAGCGUAUAUUAAAGUUGUUGCAGUUAAAAAGCUCGUAGUUGAACUUCGGGGUUCACCCAUUGGUCAGGCUUAAUUGUCUGUACUGGUGAGAUGAGUCUCUACCUUCUGAGGAACUUUCAUGCCAUUUAUUUGGUGUGAUGGGAAAUCAGGACUGUUACUUUGAAAAAAUUAGAGUGUUUAAAGCAGGCUAACGUCUGAAUACAUUAGCAUGGAAUAAUGAAAUAGGACGGAUUGAUUCUAUUUCGUUGGUUUCUAGGGUCACCGUAAUGAUUAAUAGGGAUAGUUGGGGGCAUUAGUAUUCAAUUGUCAGAGGUGAAAUUCUUGGAUUUAUUGAAGACUAACUACUGCGAAAGCAUUUGCCAAGGAUGUUUUCAUUAAUCAAGAACGAAAGUUAGGGGAUCGAAGACGAUCAGAUACCGUCGUAGUCUUAACCAUAAACUAUGCCGACUAGGGAUCGGACGCAGUUAAUUUUAUAAUGACGUGUUCGGCAACC